CACAGGCGAGACAUUGAGUUUUCCCUCUGGGAUUGUUGUUGUUUCUUCAGUUUUUUGGAGCUGGCACAGCACUGUAAAAACGUCACGUUUAUUGUCAGCUGUACCAGAGGACGCAGCAUGGCGCUCUUGGUUUAAAGAAAAAGGCUCAAGCAAUGGUAAUUCUGUGAGAUCACAGGAACUCACAGGCUUCUCCACCACAACCAGAUGACAAUCCACGGCAGAAGAAGAGUGGCAAUCGGGAGAGUCUGGAUCUUUCCCGGUGGCAACUCAUGUUUUGAGGCCAGCACUCCAACUCCAGCUCUGGACACUACUCACAGUUCUACAAUGCACUUAUGUUUGUGUGUAGUUAAAUGUGCCUAUUCAAAGCGUCUAUAUUAGCAAGUGUUAAAUGGCCUGUUUAGGUCUGUUCCAAACAUAUGCAUAUGCAUUGCAAUAUCCCUUUGGGA